GGCAUGCACAGUGACAAUCACUGUGGUUAGCUGCUGUCCUGAAAAGAUCAAGAACAAGAUCUGCUGCAAAGGAGGUAGGGCUGUCAAGUGCAUUGAGAUCAAGGUGCCAGAAAAGCCUAAGCCACCACCAGAGAAGCUAAAGAACCAGAAAAGCCUAAACCACCACCAGAGAAGCCUAAAGAACCAGAAAAAAGCCUAAACCACCACCAGAGAAGCCGAAAGAACAUCCACCGGCCCCGAAACCCGCUCCUCCACACUCGGUCCCAGCGCACCCGCCACCGGUCUGCCCA
rnacentral:lncRNA from 1 species